rnacentral:misc_RNA from 1 species
AACUGAUACUACCUGCGGGAACCUGCGGAGGGAUCAUUAACGUAUAUCUCCGAUGGGGUGCGGCGCACCCUGCUCCGGCCCAUUGGGUCGUGAAGCGGGUGGGCCGCCCUCGUCCAAACCUCACAAACCCACUGUGAACCUUCACGGCGGAGGGGUUCCACGGCUCGCGCUGUGAACUCUGAGGCCGCAUACCAAACCCCAGUUUACAAAGAAUCUCGUGCGGACGCUGUGCCGCCUAAA